GAUGAACGCUGUCGGCGUGCCUAAUACAUGCAAGUCUAGCGAAGCGGGGACGGGUGAGUAACGCGUGGCUAACCUCCUAUCCGACUGGGAUAACUUCUGGAAACCGGAGCUAAACCGGAUGCUUAUCGCUGGCUCCGCGAUGCAUUAGCUAGUUGGUAAUGUAACGGCUUACCAAGGCAACGCUGCAUAUCCGACCUGAGAGGGUGAUCGGCCACACGGGAACUGAGACAAGGUCCAGACUACUAGGUGAGGCAGCAGGAGUGAAUCUUCCGCAAGGGGAGAAAGGCUGACGGAGCAACGCCGCGUGAGUGAUGAAGGUCUUCGGAUCGUAAAACUCUGUUAUUAGGGAAGCGGUACCUAAUCAGAAAGCCACGGCUAACUACGGGCCAGCAGCCGCGGUAAUUC
rnacentral:rRNA from 1 species